GUGCUCACUUUGGGCAGCACAUACACUUAAACUGAAACAAUACAGAGAUCUGCAUGUCCCUGCACAAACAUGACAUGAAAAUUUGUGAAGUGUUCCAUAUUUUU